CAGCAGUGAGGAAUAUUGGUCAAUGGGCGAGAGCCUGAACCAGCCAAGUAGCGUGCAGGAUGACGGCCCUAUGGGUUGUAAACUGCUUUUAUAAGGGAAUAAAGUGGGUCUCGUGAGACUUUUUGCAUGUACCUUAUGAAUAAGGACCGGCUAAUUCCGUGCCAGCAGCCGCGGUAAUACGGAAGGUCCGGGCGUUAUCCGGAUUUAUUGGGUUUAAAGGGAGCGUAGGCCGGAGAUUAAGCGUGUUGUGAAAUGUAGUGGCUCAACCUCUGCACUGCAGCGCGAACUGGUCUUCUUGAGUACGCACAACGUGGGCGGAAUUCGUGGUGUAGCGGUGAAAUGCUUAGAUAUCACGAAGAACUCCGAUUGCGAAGGCAGCUCACGGGAGCGCAACUGACGCUGAAGCUCGAAAGUGCGGGUAUCGAACAGGAUUAGA
rnacentral:rRNA from 1 species